CCUGGUUUUGAAUUGAGACAAGGAAGUGGAAGUCUCGACACGGACCUCGACGGAGAGAGCAAAGAGAGCGAGGAGAGAGAGAGCGACGCCGUGUAAGAGAAGAGAAAGAGGGAGAGAGAAGAGGACGAUGACAAUAAAAAGCGUAACCACCGCUCUCUCGCCGUUAAGUAACUGCGAAAACGAGACAGCGGCCAUGGCGACUCCGCUGUCAAGCUGGAAUCAAAAACAAAGGAUUCGUUUUGAUUGAGAAAGGAAACGGAGGAAGGAAACGGUGUAUUUUUUUUUCUCGAAAAGGAUGGGGUUGAGGCUCAGAGCCGUCGGGAGGAGUCGUUCGGUUAGGUGGCCGGCUCGGUGACUUAAUUGGUGGGCCCCACCAAAACGUGUUUCAGUCAAUGAUAGGAUUCCACAUCAGCUGCCACUGUGUUCUCC
rnacentral:lncRNA from 1 species